AUCCACCGUAACUGGGUCUCCGACGCCAUUAUCGGCGGUGCAUUGAUAUACCCCCGCUUGUUGGCGCUCCAAUUUGUCUAAAGCAAUAAAAGUAAAGUUCUCGAGGGCGAGUAAAAAAUGUUAAAAGUCAACUGCAGUGGCAACUGAAAGUAAAAAGAAAUGCAAUAGAAAGAUCUCUUGACUACAAGUACGCUCUGCAGGAGUUAACCUGCUGUCCUUCUUUCGGUUGCCUUACACAACUAGAGGUAAACACCAAAAAAAGAAGAGAACGAUAAGACACAAGAGGCGAUGUGGGACUCAUGUCUAGUACUUGUAUGUAGCCAGUCAGCUUUUGGUUGCGAACAUCUUGUUUUUGGCCAAGUGACGCCAACGGGGAACACGUGUCGAUGGCUGCUCUAAACGCAAGCAGAGCAUCAAACUUGGAUAGAAGGGGCCGUGUUAAGGUUGCGGAAAUGACAGUAGAUUCAAGCGAAAUUCAAUGGCAUACAACUUACUAGAAAGGUUUGAAAGUCAACGACUGCGUUUACAUAUGGAGCGCAAACUAUUUGCUGAAACAUGGAGAAACCGAGUGAUUGAGCUACGCCCAUGUCAAGAGCAAGGCAUGCAAGCAAACAAAUCGAACGGAAAUGUCUAAUGUGCCAAAGUGCAGAAAGGCAAACAAGAUUGAGCAGGGCGGAAGAUAGAUUUUUUCGACUAUAUUAAGAAUUUUACCCCUUGUUUUAUUAAAAGCUUGCUGACUCUCGGUUAAAGUUGUGGGUUGUAGGUUGCUUGUUUGACAUUUGCCAAUGUAUACUGUUUCAUCAAAACGUUUGUAGUUUUAUGCAACCCCCUACAUUCUAUUCAAUCUUAAUUAAAUCACGCUUGGGAGUGCGAGUGUACGUGGGCAAACGAUUUCUAGCUUAAUAUUUUAAAUGUUGCGUUUAUUUGUGUGUGACAGGCAUAUAGAAUUCUUGGUCAGAUAUUACACUCAUAAUAAAAACAUAUCUCCAUACGAGGGAAAUAUUUUUGUAACCAACCCUUUGUUAUGUGUACGUUAUCGCAAUACACUCCUUAACCCAACACAUUAUUAUAUUGUAAAAAUUACCUAACGACACUAUUGAGAUCUAUUGAUUGCUCAUCGAAUAUUUUAGUGUUGACACCUAUAUUUUUCGGUCUGAAGAACUACACUUACCUUUUUGGUCCAGUAAAUUGAUGGUACCGGAUUACCGGAUCCCUUACAUUCAAGGGUAAUAGGUCCGCCCUUUCGUGCCUGCAGCUGUCCCGAUGUGGGGAUAGCGCGAACGCUUGGAGGCAC